GUAAGCUAAUAAGUUUGUCUUGUUUUCUUGUCUCAUCCUCGGGACAUCUGAGUCCGACAGAACCAGCUCCGGUUUGACUGAAUGCUCAGUCUGGGGAUGAUCACAGCUGAUGUCUGCAUCAAGCAGAAGGUAAUGAGAGUCUGCAAUGAGUCGAGUGAUGAAGUGAUGCCAGAAGAGAGAGAUCACGAGGUAACGCUAACAUUGCUCACUUAAAACAAAGCAGCGCCUGUGUCAAGCCAGGACCAAACAACACAAAAUGCCUGUGAAGAUGAUGGUUCGGACAAUACCCAAGUGGCACCUGUGGGAAGCGGCUCAGACACUGAGACACAGAAAGACACUCCAAGCAAGAUAACCAUGAACGAUAUACUUGAAAAACAGUAUAAAGUGUUAACACUGGAAGAAGCAAAACUACAAUUAGAAAUUGAAAAACUACAAUUGGAAAAAACUAAGCUCAAGGUGGAGCUACAGAAACUUGAACUUGACCAUGAACUGUAGAUCUCUUUGACCAUUGUCCGCGAAGCUGAAUCUACUUGUUAUGUGCAGUAGUUAAAUGAAAGCAGUGUUUACAUACAGGAUCUUUACUUUGAUCUAAAUGUUCAAAGUGUGUUUUAGUAAAGCCUAAGGUAGUUUAAAAAUAUUGCAUUUCACUAGUUUUUGCUGAUCUACUGCAUCGCCUUCUUUGUAAAAAAAAAGUUUAAUAAAUACAUUACAAUA